rnacentral:rRNA from 1 species
GACAGAGGAUGCAAACGUUGCUCGGAAUUACUGGGCGUAAAGCGCGCGUAGGCGGACCGGCAAGUCGGGGGUGAAAGCCCGAGGCUCAACCUCGGAACUGCCUUCGAUACUGCGGGUCUCGAGUCCGGGAGAGGUGAGUGGAAUUCCUAGUGUAGAGGUGAAAUUCGUAGAUAUUAGGAAGAACACCAGUGGCGAAGGCGGCUCACUGGCUCGGUACUGACGCUGAGGCGCGAAAGCGUGGGGAGCAAACAGG